rnacentral:misc_RNA from 1 species
GAUGAAGAACGUAGCGAAAUGCGAUAAGUAAUGCGAAUUGCAGAAUUCCGUGAGUCAUCGAAUCUUUGAACGCACAUUGCGCCCUCUGGUAUUCCGGAGGGCAUGCCUGUCUGAGCGUCAUUGUCAACCCUCAAGCUCAGCUUGCUGUUGGGUCCCCGUCAUUGCUUUAACGGCGGACCCGAAAGGUAAUGGCAGAGUCCGUGAGACCCUAGACGCAGCGAGCUUCUAGCACGCGUCUGGACGUUUUUCGGGCUCGGUCUUAAACUAGAUGAUAACUUCCGAUUGACCUCAGAUCAGGUAGGGAUACCCGCUGAACUUAAGCAUAUCAAUAAGCGGAGGA